UAGUAUAACAUUGUACCAUAUAUACAAUAUUAUAUAAAAACUGUCUUUGUUAUAAAUGUGUAUUUUGUAUGUGGGAGAGUGCGAUGUGAUUUGUCAUGUAAACGUUUCUGUGACUGCCCUGUACUCGUCAUGUGACUGUCCUGUAAUCGUCAUGUGACUGUAGACUGUAUGUCUCCUCUUGGCAACCAUAACAUAUUUAAGGAAAGAUUCAAAGAUGAUCACAUACUAAUUUUAGCAUGUCUGUCUGCAAACUUAAAUUUUGGAUCUGUAAUACACCAAUUGUUGAAAAAACUAUUAAAAAAUUAUGUAUAUGAAUGUAUAUAUCUGAAUCGAAAAAGACAUAACAGAUUACUAUCACAUUUAUUUGUAUGAGCUUCCUCCACAUCAGUAUUUGAACAACAAUUGGAAGAAGUUAUGGCGCGACCAUGCAUGACUGACGAGGAAACCUGGAUCGUGUGACAUAAUCAUUAGAAUGGGUGUAUUGAAGUUCCAAGCCAGGAAUUGACACUAUAAGCAACAGGACAACGGCUCAGUUGAAGGUGCGAAAACCGGGCUCCGAGGAAUUUCUUAAGUGAUGCGGAAGGUAAAACCUUCAAAUCACUUUGAGAAGUCCGUAGGAGUUAACAAAGACGUGGUACCUGUACUCCUCUUCCGUGCUUUAUAAACUGAUUCUCUCUAAUUAUCUGUACCGAUCAUUGCAAGAGUAAAAAGUUAUUUUGUUUA